UAGUAUACCAGUCAUAUUUUCUUGUCAACAUGCACCUAUUUGGAGGCUUAUUCGAUAUUAUUGCAAUCUGGUAGAACUGUGUUACUACUAAGAAUUGAAUAUUUUUAGUUGGAAUACUAUUUUAAUGAUCAAUCACAAUGUUGGACGCGACCACCUAUUUAUUCCCAAGACUUUAAGUCUUGGGUGGCUUAAGCACAAUAUGCCAGGCAUAUGUUCUACAUCUGUGGCAUGUAAUGACCCUACUGGCAUUUCAAGAGGUCUUGUAAAUACAACACUAAGUGUUCACCUCGUGAGAUUUAUUAAAUGUUUUAGAUAUCUCGCUUGUGGAUGCUCAUCGGUAGCUAAUAUCCUGAGUAUAUUGAUAACAGGUUUAGGUCUGGACGGUUAUUGAGCUUGCAUUGAUGAAAUAGUUGACAAAGAAGCAACUAAAAUGAGGUUAUUGAGCUUGCAUUGAAGAAUCUUGGUUGAUGAGCUGAUAUCUGACCAAAAACUCAAGAACUAGAAGCAAGCCUGACAUCCUUUUUUUGUAAUCGGUAAAUCUGAACCUGCUCAAACCACAGGGAGGAUUUCUCUGGUGGACUAUCGCUGGCAAGGUUGGCAUGGGAGUAGGCCCGUACCAUGGGUUCGUGUAGCUGGAGGACCGUGCUGCGAUUGCCUAAUGUCCAUGUGGAGCAUAGCUCGGCAUGAGGUGAUAUCCUUUUAUGAUAACCUAGCUGUACACAAUUUCUUCAAAGAAAAUUAUGAUUGAUAUCAAACUUGAGAUUUGCAAUGUAUUUAAAUUAGUUCUUAAAUUGCUCCAAAGCUACUGAAAUCUCCCUUAUUAUAUUUUUCUGUAGAUACUGAUUGUUCUAAUUAAACUCACUACUUAAAUUCCAUAGAAAUGAGAGGCUCAAGGAAGCAACAAGUAGGAUGAAGGAGUUAUCGGGCAGAAGCGUAGAUCACAGAAAAACAAGAAUAUGUUUGCUCCCCAUGCUUUGCAUUGAUGUAUAGGUUCGGAAGUUUAAAAGCUUCAUGCGCUCCCCAUGCUUUGUAUUGAUGUAUAGGUAUGGAAUUUAGAAGCUUCAUGCUUUGUAUCUCAGUAUGUUCACAGUGGCUUCAAUCUACAAUUUAAAAAGAGAACCGGUUCAAAGAAAUGUGAACACUGGUUGGGGGUUCUAAGAAGGAUAACCCUAAAUGGGAGCAUGACAGACACCGUGGUCCAGGAAAUAAGGGGGAAUCCCGUGGUGUCUACUAUGCUUUCAGAAAUCCUAUGCAGUCAGGGAGAUUCCUUCAGAUUUUUGCAUGAUGAGCAGGUAGUUGUAAAGGGUCGUGGUGUCUACUAUGCUUAUCAGAAAAGUGAGUGCAUUUGUGAAGCUUCCUGCAGAGUUUCACAUGAUGAGUAGGUAAAUGUGCUGCUUGUCCAUUUACCAAUUAGUUAUAUAGGAGAGCACACAAGCAACAGACCACACAUCUUGUGCUAAUUUCCAUGAUAAGUUUUAGCGCAUAUGAACAAGUUAUAGUGCCAGUUAAGUUAUGAAUAGAAAUUGAGUUGCUUAUCAUUGAGUAAAAGACGUUCCUUUAGAGUAUUUAUAGUUUUAUACUAAUACUUUAUCAAGGUGAUAUGCUGAAGAUUUGUGAUUAUCACAGUAUGGCCUUUACAUUGCUUCUGUAUGAUCUGACCUGUUGAGCUCAUCACAAAGACCAUAAAAAUUGGCUCUAUCCCUGAUGUCCAAUAAAAAAGGGGAACUAUAGCCUCAGAUCGAAAAAGUUUCUUUUCCUAUGUGAUUUUGCAGCGGGACUUGCUUAUGGAGACGUUCGCUCUGGGUCAAAGCUUAAGAGGACUGAUGCUUUUGACCAUUUAAUUAGUG